GGAUAAGUGGCUCAUCAGGUAAGAGCACUGGUUGCUCUUCCAGAGGACCUGGGUUUGAGUCCCAGCACCCA
rnacentral:tRNA from 1 species